GCCGAAGUGGCGGAAUUGGCAGACGCGCGGGAUUCAAAAUCCCGUGCCCGCAAGGGCGUGAGGGUUCGAGUCCCUCCUUCGGCA
rnacentral:tRNA from 1 species